GAUGAAGAACGCAGCGAAAUGCGAUAAGUAAUGUGAAUUGCAGAAUUCAGUGAAUCAUCGAAUCUUUGAACGCACAUUGCGCCCCCUGGUAUUCCGGGGGGCAUGCCUGUCCGAGCGUCAUUAACCCUCAAGCUCAGCUUGGUGUUGGGCCCCGCCGCCCCGGCGGGCCCUAAAGUCAGUGGCGGUGCCGUCCGGCUCCGAGCGUAGUAAUUCUUCUCGCUCUGGAGGUCCGGUCGUGUGCUCGCCAGCAACCCCCAAUUUUUUUCAGGUUGACCUCGGAUCAGGUAGGGAUACCCGCUGAACUUAAGCAUAUCAAUAAGCGGAGGA
rnacentral:misc_RNA from 1 species